UUUUGGGUUCAUUUUCUUCUUCUUGAACCUUUGAGGCAUAUUCAUUGUCCUCACGUACCUGUUUAGUACUUGAUUCCCUAGACUCUUUGUAUGGAAACACACUUUCAAAGAACUCAGCCUCAUUAGAUUCAAUGAUCGUAUUUACCUUUACCUCAGCAUUAUUAGAUUAUUGGUAUAACCCGCUUUUCAGCGAUUUUAUCUAUGUUUUAGGUAUAGGAUUUUGAGUCUUUAUGUUAUUUCUCGAGUCUUUUUAGUGUCUUUUCAGGUAUUCUAUGCAAUGAGACAACAAUGGAGAUAAAGAGACAUUUUGGAGCAAAAGCUAAGGAAAAGGAAGCUAAAGACAAUUUUGGUUCAGGAAUCAGCGAGGAGUGUCGAUCGACACACUCUUGGUGUCGAUCGACACCAGUUUUGGCCCAGCAGAAGUCCAUGACGCUUUCAAGUUUACAGAAGAGGAAAUUUGCCCCAGAAGACUUCCCUAUUUGUAUUAUUAGUCCCUGGACGUUUUUACGGUUUUAUAUAUUGUUUUUAGACCUAAGUUUAAUUUAUCAAGCUUUUGCAAAACCUUGUUACAGAGAGACAUAAGCUAUUCAUCGAUUGUUUUCAGAGUUUAAUUCAGAUCUUAAUACAGUGAAAAUAUCCCUUCUUUCCCCUUCUCUAUUUACUGUGUUUAUGCCUU
rnacentral:sRNA from 1 species